rnacentral:rRNA from 1 species
GACGAACGCUGGCGGCGUGCUUAACACAUGCAAGUCGAACGAAGUGGCGAACGGGUGAGUAACGCGUAAUCAACCUGCCCUUCAGAGGGGGACAACAGUUGGAAACGACUGCUAAUACCGCAUACUGAAGGAGGGGAUUGCGUUUGAUUAGCUAGUGGGCGGGGUAACGGCCCACCAAGGCGAUGAUCAGUAGCCGGACUGAGAGGAUGAACGGCCACAAUGGGAAGGGGAACCGGCCCAGACUGCUUCGGGAGGCAGCAGUGGGGAAUCGUCCGCAAUGGACGGAAGUCUUACCGAGCAACGCCGCGGGAGGGAUGACGGCCUUCGGGUUGUAAAGCUCUGUUAAUCGGGGCGCGGUACCGGAAGAGGAAGCCACGGCUAACUACGUGCCAGCCGCCGCGGUAAUAC